GAGGGGCUUGGAAUUGACAGGCCGGAGGUGGGGCCCGAGUUCCUGUCUCCAGCCCACGAUUUGCUGAUCCAUCUGUCUUCCUCAGAGAGAGAGGGCGGAUAAUGCAGACUGCGCUUCCUUGGAAGACGGCAGGCUCCAGGCCAGACAAACGAAUGUAUCAACCAUACAGAUGAAGAGCUGAGGCUCAGGGAAGGAAUUUACCAAGGUCAUGAAGCUGUAAGACACAGAACCUGGGGUGUCUGCCUGCAGAGCUCACACUGACUCUACAGCCACUGAUCCAAAGCUUCAGCAAGGGGGUCUUUCUAGCAGGGCUCCCCCAGGAUGAGCAAGAGAUGAAGUGACCCCUCCAACCCCACAGCUCAGAGUCUUUCUUGAAGCUCCAACUCCAGGGCCAUUGUUUUCCUGUUCUCCCCGCUCCAAGGCCUCUCCUCUCUCCUUGGCCCAACUCUCUGACAGUGAUGCAGGUAUUAAAUGACUAAUCCAGAUCCCCAGCACCACAUCAAGCUCCUCAGGGUUCCUCUUCAAAGCACUGGGCACUUUGAAAGAUAACUGUAAAGGUCACAUUUGUAAUAUAAGCAAGAACUUCUUAAACAGACAUGUAAGUAACUGCACAUAGACAUGACAUGUCAUAGCUCGAGAAAUCUUUUAAAGUAAAGUUUACGCCAAAUUAACUUCCAACAGCUCCGACUCUCCAGACCAUUCUUGGUACUCUUAAUGACAGACUGUGCAGCCCAAAGCCUGCAGCUGCAGUGUCAGGACAAAUUAGCCUAAAGUGGAACAAAAGUCAAUGUGAAGAAAUGUGGUAUCCGGCAAGGUCUGACUUUUGAAAUUCUGAGAUUGAUGACAUUUUAAAGGUGUAGGUACAACAGAAUGUGUUUUCCAUAUUUGUAAGCAAUUCUAGGUUCCUGAGCACUAAGAGAAAAGCAAAGUUAAUUUCUCACCAUAGGAGAAGGCCUCAUUAUUUUUGUGCACAUACAUGACUGUCCUGUGAUCAAGAAAAGGCAUCUUUUAAAAGAAUCGUUUUGAAAUGUUUAUCUCUUAUUUGAAAUCCAAGAAAGAGAGUAGACAUUCAUUUCCAAAGAGGACCAUAAAUCAUAUAACGCUGGGAGAAAGGUCAACACCACCAGCACAGUACAGUUUUCUCACGUAUGCUUAAGGAUUUUCAGAACCUCCAAAUAAUAGCAUGAUGUAAACUUUGAAUAAAAAAGAACACCAUCAAGACUCCACUGAACAAAGAACGUCUGACUGGAAAUGCUUACGGCACCCUUCACAUGGUUGGGCAACUUUCCUCUACUGUUCCACCCCUUCUGCCUGUGCAGCUGCCAGAGUUAACUUAUCUUUAUCAGAAUCACAAAGGAACACUCUCCUGCUUAUUUACAAGGCUAAAAUGACAUCUGGUGGCGCUCUUCUCUGAGAACUCAGUCACUGUUCCUGGAAAACGAUUCAAAAGCACAAACUUUUGCAGGGCAACUGUAGGAGUAUUCUUGUGCAUGUGUGUUAAGUACUAACUGCUGAUGUUGCUCAAAUGUUCCGCUAGUCCCUGUAGCCUCACAAUGUUUUAUUCAUUGUCCUGUGAUCAAUUCAAAAAAGCCAUCUUUUAUAAGAAUCGUUUUGAAGUGUUUAUCUUUUAUUUGAACAUCCAAGAAAGAGUAGACAUUGACUUCCAAAGGGGACCAUACCUCCUAUAAUGCCUGAAGGUGCUUAAAAUAUAGUGAACUGUGUUAAAGUUAAUAGGAUACAUCAUUAGUGUGUUAAAAAAUGUAAAAUGGUGACAUACUAUGAGCUCACCUGGGUAAGGAAAAUAUGGCUAAAGUACCUCUAAAGGUAUUUACUUAUUAAGUAUACCGACCAAACUUUAGACAUUUUACUUCGACCACAGAAAGUAUUAUUCGAAAAAAACAAUCUUCAUUACAAAAUUAUAUAUUUAAUUAGGAAGUAAAACCUAAAUCUGUAUUUACUAGCAAUACCAACUUUAAAUAUUCUAGUUGCAGCUGACAACAGAAAUUCUAACAUGCAUAUGUUGUUGCAUAAUAGCCUCUUUUUCCUAGUUGGGUAUGUUUGUAGAGACAGAAAGGUCCCCUGACCGAUUGUGCAAUAGAGCCCCAAGAUACUUAAGCCUGGAACUACUCUCUCAGACUUAACAAAAUGUUCAUCUUAAUUUCUAUCAGAUCGAGACAAAACAUUCACUCUUUAGAUAAUAGAGGAGAGACUAAAGAACAUGUCAUAAUAGUCAAAUCUGUGCCAAUGUUAAAUCUAUCCCUUUAAAAACAUGUAUUAUUGUGAGGCCACAGGGAUUAGUGCAACAUUUGAACAGAAUCAGCAGUUAGUACUUAACACACAUGCACAAGAAUACUCCUACAGUUGCCCUGCAACCAAGAAGCUAAUAAAAGAGCCAGGCUUUUCAAAUGAACACCUCGAUGAUGACACCAUUAGUUAUUCAGCAAAAAUAAAUGCUUCAUUAACUUGUCUUCCCACUGUUAAAGGAUAGGAUGAAUUUACCUCAAGGCAGCAACUCAGAUAUUAACGUUCCCUUACAUUUUAGAGCUCACUAUGCAGAUAUACCAGAAAUAAGGUGACUUAAAACUCAAUUUGUCUGUAAAAUACACUGGCCUUUGGAAUCCAGAAACCCACUUGGUCCUGACUGCCAAUUACUUGACCUUCCUUUUGUUACUUGACCUCUCUGGAUCUUGACUAAACUCAUCUGUGAGACAAAAGAGGAGAUCUCCAAAGUUUUUUCAUCUCAAAUAUGUUACGAUUUAGAUUCAAGAAUUAUUUUUCCAAUUCCUACCACACACCCUGAAUACUGAGGUCACGCUGAGGUAUUAUUUGCCUAAGACUCUCAUAAAUGACUCAGUAAGGGAUCAACUCCAUUAGUGCAGUGGCCAGCAUUGAGUGAUCAGCAAAAAUAUCUCAUUGAGUAUUUCUAUGAUGUCACGGCUGUGCCUUUUAACAUAAUAUAACUUGAAUGUAUGCCUCUUAUUAAAAAAAUUACAAAUU